CCCUGCUAGAAGGUAUUGGCCUUAAGAACCAAAAAGAGCCCUAAAUAAGAUCACUGUACCAGAGCGGGGGUCUCACUGUGUCCCUGCAAUGAAUAUGGGAUACAGCUGGAGGUGAUGACUCUACCACAAGUCAGCGACAUGGUGGCCACCAUGUCAGGAUCAGAUGACCUGCACUUCAGCAAGAGGCAGAUUCCGGGCUCGGUCUCUGCACUCACCCACCGGACUUUCUGCAGUCAGACGUAUUCACUAAAGAAGUGAGUUUCCUGCUGCAUCAAAGGCAGAUUCCAGGCUUGGUCUCUG